GGCGAAAAGAACCCCGGCGAGGGGAGUGAAAAAGAACCUGAAACCGUGUACGUACAAGCAGUGGGAGCCUCUUUUAUGGGGUGACUGCGUACCUUUUGUAUAAUGGGUCAGCGACUUAUAUUCUGUAGCAAGGUUAACCGAAUAGGGGAGCCGAAGGGAAACCGAGUCUUAACCGGGCGUUAAGUUGCAGGGUAUAGACCCGAAACCCGGUGAUCUAGCCAUGGGCAGGUUGAAGGUUGGGUAACACUAACUGGAGGACCGAACCGACUAAUGUUGAAAAAUUAGCGGAUGACUUGUGGCUGGGGGUGAAAGGCCAAUCAAACCGGGAGAUAGCUGGUUCUCCCCGAAAGCUAUUUAGGUAGCGCCUCGUGAAUUCAUCUCCGGGGGUAGAGCACUGUUUCGGCAAGGGGGUCAUCCCGACUUACCAACCCGAUGCAAACUGCGAAUACCGGAGAAUGUUAUCACGGGAGACACACGGCGGGUGCUAACGUCCGUCGUGAAGAGGGAAACAACCCAGACCGCCAGCUAAGGUCCCAAAGUCAUGGUUAAGUGGGAAACGAUGUGGGAAGGCCCAGACAGCCAGGAUGUUGGCUUAGAAGCAGCCAUCAUUUAAAGAAAGCGUAAUAGCUCACUGGUCGAGUCGGCCUGCGCGGAAGAUGUAACGGGGCUAAACCAUGCACCGAAGCUGCGGCAGCGACACUGUGUGUUGUUGGGUAGGGGAGCGUUCUGUAAGCCUGUGAAGGUGUGCUGUGAGGCAUGCUGGAGGUAUCAGAAGUGCGAAUGCUGACAUAAGUAACGAUAAAGCGGGUGAAAAGCCCGCUCGCCGGAAGACCAAGGGUUCCUGUCCAACGUUAAUCGGGGCAGGGUGAGUCGACCCCUAAGGCGAGGCCGAAAGGCGUAGUCGAUGGGAAACAGGUUAAUAUUCCUGUACUUGGUGUUACUGCGAAGGGGGGACGGAGAAGGCUAUGUUGGCCGGGCGACGGUUGUCCCGGUUUAAGCGUGUAGGCUGGUUUUCCAGGCAAAUCCGGAAAAUCAAGGCUGAGGCGUGAUGACGAGGCACUACGGUGCUGAAGCAACAAAUGCCCUGCUUCCAGGAAAAGCCUCUAAGCAUCAGGUAACAUCAAAUCGUACCCCAAACCGACACAGGUGGUCAGGUAGAGAAUACCAAGGCGCUUGAGAGAACUCGGGUGAAGGAACUAGGCAAAAUGGUGCCGUAACUUCGGGAGAAGGCACGCUGAUAUGUAGGUGAAGUCCCUCGCGGAUGGAGCUGAAAUCAGUCGAAGAUACCAGCUGGCUGCAACUGUUUAUUAAAAACACAGCACUGUGCAAACACGAAAGUGGACGUAUACGGUGUGACGCCUGCCCGGUGCCGGAAGGUUAAUUGAUGGGGUCAGCGCAAGCGAAGCUCUUGAUCGAAGCCCCGGUAAACGGCGGCCGUAACUAUAACGGUCCUAAGGUAGCGAAAUUCCUUGUCGGGUAAGUUCCGACCUGCACGAAUGGCGUAAUGAUGGCCAGGCUGUCUCCACCCGAGACUCAGUGAAAUUGAACUCGCUGUGAAGAUGCAGUGUACCCGCGGCAAGACGGAAAGACCCCGUGAACCUUUACUAUAGCUUGACACUGAACAUUGAGCCUUGAUGUGUAGGAUAGGUGGGAGGCUUUGAAGUGUGGACGCCAGUCUGCAUGGAGCCGACCUUGAAAUACCACCCUUUAAUGUUUGAUGUUCUAACGUGGACCCGUGAUCCGGGUUGCGGACAGUGUCUGGUGGGUAGUUUGACUGGGGCGGUCUCCUCCUAAAGAGUAACGGAGGAGCACGAAGGUUGGCUAAUCCUGGUCGGACAUCAGGAGGUUAGUGCAAUGGCAUAAGCCAGCUUGACUGCGAGCGUGACGGCGCGAGCAGGUGCGAAAGCAGGUCAUAGUGAUCCGGUGGUUCUGAAUGGAAGGGCCAUCGCUCAACGGAUAAAAGGUACUCCGGGGAUAACAGGCUGAUACCGCCCAAGAGUUCAUAUCGACGGCGGUGUUUGGCACCUCGAUGUCGGCUCAUCACAUCCUGGGGCUGAAGUAGGUCCCAAGGGUAUGGCUGUUCGCCAUUUAAAGUGGUACGCGAGCUGGGUUUAGAACGUCGUGAGACAGUUCGGUCCCUAUCUGCCGUGGGCGCUGGAGAACUGAGGGGGGCUGCUCCUAGUACGAGAGGACCGGAGUGGACGCAUCACUGGUGUUCGGGUUGUCAUGCCAAUGGCACUGCCCGGUAGCUAAAUGCGGAAGAGAUAAGUGCUGAAAGCAUCUAAGCACGAAACUUGCCCCGAGAUGAGUUCUCCCUGACCCUUUAAGGGUCCUGAAGGAACGUUGAAGACGACGACGUUGAUAGGCCGGGUGUGUAAGCGCAGCGAUGCGUUGAGCUAACCGGUACUAAUGAACCGUGAGGCUUAACCUUACAACGCCGAAGGUGUUU
rnacentral:rRNA from 1 species